AAUGAGAUUAUUGGAUCAUAUGGUCAUUCUAUUUUUAAUUUUUUGAGGAACCUCCAUACUGUUUUCCAGAAUGGCUGUACUAAAUUACAUUCCCAUCAACAGU
rnacentral:pre_miRNA from 1 species